rnacentral:rRNA from 1 species
ACGCUCGACACCUACUGGAGGCAGCAGUGGGGAAUAUUGCACAAUGGGGAAACCCUGAUGCAGCGACGCCGCGUGGAGGAAGAAGGUCUUCGGAUUGUAAACUCCUGUUGUUGGGAAAAAGNGGAUGGUACCCAACAAGGAAGUGACGGCUAACUACGUGCCANGCGCGUAUNNGCGGCGUGCGAGAGC